GACCAACAGCUAUUAACUAGUUUCAAACACGUGGGAGAGACAGAAGAACCCUAGGAAUUUAGAGAUGGAACUUGAUAAAGGCAUUUCUCAGAAGAAUUUCAGACAGCAGGAACUUGACUUCAAAGACUAUGGAAAUGAUGUUAGACAAAAAGCAAAUUCAAGCAAUAUUCUUAUUUGAGUUCGAAAUGGGUCAUAAAGACAACUCACAACAUCAACAAUGCAUUUGGUCUGAGAACUGCUAAUGAAUGUACAGUGCAAUGGUGGUUCAAGAAGUUUUGCCAAGGAGAUGAGAGCCUUGAAGAUGAGGAGCGUAGUGGCUGGCCAUUGGAAAGUGACAACGACCAUUUGAGAGUAGUCAUUGAAGCUGAUCCUCUUACAAGUACAAGAGAAGUUGCCCAAGAACUCAGUGUCAAUCAUUCUAUAGUGUUCAGCAUUUGAAGCAAAUUGGAAAGGUGAAAAAGGUCAAUAAGUGGGUGCCUCAUGAGCUGACUGAAAAUACAAAAAUCAUCUUUUUGAAGUGUCAUCUUCCAUUGUUCUAUGCAACAACAACAAACUAUUUCUCGAUCAGAUUGUGAUAUGCAACGAAAAGUGGAUUUUAUAUGACAACUGGCAAUGACCAGCUCAGUGGCUGGCCUGAGAAGAAGUUCCAAAGCACUUCCCAAAGCCAAGCUUGCACCAAAAAAAGGUCAUGGCCACUGUUUGGUGGUCUGUUGCUGGUCUGAUCCACUACAGCUUUCUGAAUCUCACUGCAACUGUUACAUCUGAGAAGUAUGCUCAGCAAAUCAAUGAGAUGCACUGAAAACUGCAAUGCCUGCAGCUAGCACUGGUCAACAAAAAGGGCCCAAUUCUUUUCCACAACGCCUGACUGCACAUCACACAACCAGUGCAUCAGAAGUUGAAUGAAUUGGGCCAUGAAGUUUUGCCUCAACCGCCACAUUCAUCUGACCUCUGCCAACCAACUACUACUUCCUCAAGCAUCUCAACAACUUUUUGCAGGGAAAAUGCUUCCACAACCAGCAGGAUGCAGAAAAUGCUUUUCAAGAGUUCAUUGAAUCCUGAAGCACGGAUUUCUAUACUACAGUAAUGAAAAAAUGUAUUUCUCAUUGGCAAAAAUGUGUGGAUUGUAAUGGUUCCUAUUCUGAUUAAUAAAGAUGUGUUUAAGCCUCGUU
rnacentral:lncRNA from 1 species